UACGUAGGGGGCAAGCGUUAUCCGGAUUUACUGGGUGUAAAGGGUGCGUAGACGGGAAAUUAAGUUAGUUGUGAAAUCCCUCGGCUUAACUGAGGAACUGCAACUAAAACUGAUUUUCUUGAGUACUGGAGAGGAAAGUGGAAUUCCUAGUGUAGCGGUGAAAUGCGUAGAUAUUAGGAGGAACACCAGUGGCGGAGGCGGCUUACUGGACGGUAACUGACGCUGAGGCUCGAAAGCGUGGGGAGCAAACAGG
rnacentral:rRNA from 1 species